AUAUCAAUAAGCGGAGGAAAAGAAACCAACAGGGAUUGCCCUAGUAACGGCGAGUGAAGCGGCAACAGCUCAAAUUUGAAAUCUGGCUCUUUCAGAGUCCGAGUUGUAAUUUGCAGAGGGCGCUUUGGCUUUGGCAGCGGUCCAAGUUCCUUGGAACAGGACGUCACAGAGGGUGAGAAUCCCGUACGUGGUCGCUAGCUAUUGCCGUGUAAAGCCCCUUCGACGAGUCGAGUUGUUUGGGAAUGCAGCUCUAAAUGGGAGGUAAAUUUCUUCUAAAGCUAAAUAUUGGCCAGAGACCGAUAGCGCACAAGUAGAGUGAUCGAAAGAUGAAAAGCACUUUGGAAAGAGAGUCAAACAGCACGUGAAAUUGUUGAAAGGGAAGCGCUUGCAGCCAGACUUGCUUGCAGUUGCUCAUCCGGGCUUUUGCCCGGUGCACUCUUCUGUAGGCAGGCCAGCAUCAGUUUGGGCGGUGGGAUAAAGGUCUCUGUCACGUACCUCCUUUCGGGGAGGCCUUAUAGGGGAGACGACAUACCACCAGCCUGGACUGAGGUCCGCGCAUCUGCUAGGAUGCUGGCGUAAUGGCUGUAAGCGGCCCGUCUUGAAACACGGACCAAGGAGUCUAACAUCUAUGCGAGUGUUUGGGUGUCAAGCCCGAGCGCGUAAUGAAAGUGAACGGAGGUGGGAACCCGCAAGGGCGCACCAUCGACCGAUCCUGAAGUUUACGGAAGGAUUUGAGUAAGAGCAUGGCUGUUGGGACCCGAAAGAUGGUGAACUAUGCUUGAAUAGGGUGAAGCCAGAGGAAACUCUGGUGGAGGCUCGCAGCGGUUCUGACGUGCAAAUCGAUCGUCAAAUUUGGGCAUAGGGGCGAAAGACUAAUCGAACUAUCUAGUAGCUGGUUCCUGCC
rnacentral:rRNA from 1 species